rnacentral:tRNA from 4 species
GGGCCAGUAGCUCAGGGGUUAGAGCACCUGCCUUUUAAGCAGGGUGUCGUUGGUUCGAUUCCAACCUGGCUCACCA